rnacentral:tRNA from 1 species
GGGGAUUUAGCUCAGCGGCAUAAGCGCCUGCCUUGCAAGCAGGCAGUCGUGAGAUCAAUCCCUG